AACGAACGCUGGCGGCAGGCUUAACACAUGCAAGUCGAGCGCCCCGCAAGGGGAGCGGCAGACGGGUGAGUAACGCGUGGGAAUCUACCCAUCCCUACGGAAUAGCUCCGGGAAACUGGAAUUAAUACCGUAUACGCCCUACGGGGGAAAGAUUUAUCGGGGAAGGAUUGGCCCGCGUUGGAUUAGCUAGUUGGUGGGGUAAAGGCCUACCAAGGCGACGAUCCAUAGCUGGUCUGAGAGGAUGAUCAGCCACAUUGGGACUGAGACACGGCCCAAACUCCUACGGGAGGCAGCAGUGGGGAAUAUUGGACAAUGGGCGCAAGCCUGAUCCAGCCAUGCCGCGUGAGUGAUGAAGGCCUUAGGGUUGUAAAGCUCUUUCACCGAUGAAGAUAAUGACGGUAGUCGGAGAAGAAGCCCCGGCUAACUUCGUGCCAGCAGCCGCCGUAA
rnacentral:rRNA from 1 species